rnacentral:rRNA from 1 species
GAUGAACGCUGGCGGCGUGCCUAAUACAUGCAAGUCGAGCGAACAGACGAGGAGCUUGCUCCUCUGACGUUAGCGGCGGACGGGUGAGUAACACGUGGAUAACCUACCUAUAAGACUGGGAUAACUUCGGGAAACCGGAGCUAAUACCGGAUAAUAUAUUGAACCGCAUGGUUCAAUAGUGAAAGACGGUUUUGCUGUCACUUAUAGAUGGAUCCGCGCCGCAUUAGCUAGUUGGUAAGGUAACGGCUUACCAAGGCAACGAUGCGUAGCCGACCUGAGAGGGUGAUCGGCCACACUGGAACUGAGACACGGUCCAGACUCCAACGGGAGGCAGCAGUGGGGAAUCUUCCGCAAUGGGCGAAAGCCUGACGGAGCAACGCCGCGUGAGUGAUGAAGGUCUUCGGAUCGUAAAACUCUGUUAUUAGGGAAGAACAAAUGUGUAAGUAACGAUGCACGUCUUGACGGUACCUAAUCAGAAAGCCACGGCUAACUACGU